rnacentral:misc_RNA from 2 species
AACGCACAUUGCGCCCCCUGGUAUUCCGGGGGGCAUGCCUGUCCGAGCGUCAUUGCUGCCCAUCAAGCGCGGCUUGUGUGUUGGGCCACCGUCCCCCCUCGGGGGGACGGGCCCGAAAGGCAGCGGCGGCACCGCGUCCGGUCCUCGAGCGUAUGGGGCUCUGUCACCCGCUCUGGAGGCCCGGCCGGCGCCUGCCGACCCCAACCUUUUUUUAACCAGGUUGACCUCGGAUCAGGUAGGGAUACCCGCUGAACUUAA